AAGUAUAGCUCCUUUUGCUUUUAUAUUCAUUAGAAUAGUGCUUUAAUAAUUAUAAGCUGCAUUGGCUACAUCUUCUAUGGGAAUGUAAUCGUGUUUAAGAACAAACUAGUUUUUGCUUUUAGUGCAAUAAGUAGUUUUAAAGGAAAGUGUGUCUGUGGUCUUCCGCACAGACAACAGGAGGAACAGACAGACACCUGUCAUUUAAAAGGGGGCAAAGUAAUACAGCCUUAACUUCAGAAGGAGUGCUUCACAAUGUUCAGUUUUAGAGCAUGUCCUUACACAACCACAGUCAAGGAAGUAAAGCCAACGAGACAAGCCUCACUAGAGGUCAGGAACACAGCAGCACUUCUGUUUUAAAAAUGGCAGUGAUAGCCGGACAGUGGUGGCUCAUACCUUUAAUCCCAGCACUUGGGAGGCAGAGGCAGGCAGAUCUCUGAGUUCAAGGCCAACCUGAUCUACAGAACAAGUUCCAGGACAGCCAGAGCUAUACAGAGAAAGCCUGUCUCAAAAAAAAAAAGAAGAAAGAAUAAGAAAAGAAAAGACAGCGAACAGCUUAAGAUUUGAAGAUUUUUAAUUAUUUGAAAAUUGAUCUUGCUUGUUGAAGAAUUGUGCUUCUUUGACCAAAAGAAUCAAGAAAAUACUGGAUGGUUUUUUUUUUUUUCUCUAUCUUUUUACCAGUGUACUUUCUCUUUAAAAAUAAGAAGACAAUGACAAAGAAAUUCAGGGCUUUGAUCAUUUAAAGUUAGUUAAAUUUCUGAAAUAUGGAGGAGAAAUCUUUUAAAAAAUUUACUUUUCUCCUCUUCUUUAGUCAAUGACUUUAGUUGAUAACUUUAAGCUGUCAAAGCUGAGUUUCUCAGUAGCGUCAGAGUCAGGGAACUUUGUGCUUUGUAAGUCAUGAAAGUUGCAUUGAGUUUCCUCUGUUCUUGUUUCCUGUUCUGGUUCCGAGGACAGACACUACAGAUGUUUGCAGUGUCGCCAUCAGCCUUCAAACCCCCAUCUGCACCUGACAAGCAAUGACUUUAGAGCCUCCUUUGUUCUCUUACUUUUAAUUCACUGUUAUUGCCAGUUUACUGUACUUUGAGCCUAAAAUCUGAGCCCGUGUCCUCCCAUAGGCAUGAAAUCUUUUGUCCCUCUGACAGAAAACUAAGAAAGCACUGUAUGUUUUAUGCUUUUUGUUUUGUUUUGUUUUACGCUUUUUUGCUUUGAAGUAUCGAAACUGCAACUCUCAGAACUGUUUCAAAGCACUUUACAAAGGAUAUUUGUGUCGUUUGUACUUUGUUUUUUUCUUCCCAAAUUUUUCCAUCUCCUCUCUGACAAAAGAAAAACUCCUAAAACAUAUUUGGGUUGGUUUGUUUGCUCCCUUGUUUCGGAAGCCCACGCUCACCUCCAGCACCAGUCUCCUCACUUCAGCCUCCCUGGUAGCGGGGACUACAGGGAUUCUUCCACUGUGCCCAUCUGUUUGGGGAGAUGAGCACGAGAAGAGAAUAGUACAGCCUGUUUGUCCGGUGUAUUAGAACAUCUUCCUUCGUCUGUGGCCCCUGCACAUAUUCACACAAGGAACGUUAGGGGGCAACAUAGACACCUGUCUUUUUCCUAACCUUUGAUCUCACACUUGCCAGAAUAAAGCCCUUGCUUUUAACUCCUAUUUGGAAGGAACUUUUCAAGGGGAAGAAUAUUUUUCCUAAAAUAUAAGGUUUUAUCUUUUGAAUGGCUUCAUUUUUAGAAUGCUCUUACAUUAUUGUCUUGCUAGUUUAAGAUAAUUAGCUUAGAAGACUAUGUAUAGUAUAUUUCUAUUUUGCCUACUAAUAACUUGGUAUACCAAACUUAAUGCCAACAAACUUUGUGUUUAGAAUUUUAUGGUAAAAGGCUUAUGGAAAAUACUUGUUGAAAUUUAUAGUAAUUAUUUUUGCGCUUCUGGAUAAAAUUCUUAAUCUUUUUCUGAAGUUCCUUUUUUAGUUUAAACAUGGAGAAACUGUAGCAACUUUGCUUUUCUCCCCUACUCUUGCUCUAGUUGAUGAGUGUUGGCCUGCAGGUCUUUAUGGUGUGUCUCAUAAGACUGACUGCAAUGUCAAUCUAAACAACUUAUGCAAUUGUUUUCCAUGUGAAGAAGAGUUUGGAGUUUAAUGUAUGUUCUUGAUGGCAAAUGUGUCUCAAGAGUGUCUCUGUAUUACAGUAUCAAAGUACUGGUGUUGAGACCAUACGUUGAUAAUUCUGUAGCUGCUAUAUUUAUUUAGAUAGAGUCUGACAUUUACUGCUCUAAAUAAUAAGGAGGUGUGCAAGAUGCCAGGCUAGUGUCAGACCCUUUGGGUUCUUGAGACAAGUUUAGGGACAUAAACUAUGAAGGUAACAGCAGGUACUUAAAACAGUUCUAGUUUCAGUUUAAUAACCAAAUACCUUUGCUUUAAAAAUGUAGCGGGUUUUUCAUUUGUUUUUUACAUUGACAGUUUGCAGGGGGUACUUGAGUUUUCACAGUAAUGUGGAUACUUUUCACUUUAUUAAUAAUUAUCUGUUAACAAGUUUUCCAGAAAAAAAAAAGUCUAGAAAUAUCUCCUCUCCACUUAUGAGGUAUUAACUUACUUUGCUUCCUGAAGAGAAUCCAGAAGGGAUUCCAGUAGGAAUGCUCUGUGUUUUGGAGGCACUUGAUAAAGACUCAUCUCUGCCUUCUAGCAGAGAAACUCCUCGAUUUCUAAAGACCCAUACCAGUUUCCCAAGCCAGGCUCUCUGUGGUCCCCACUGACAUUUUGUCCUGUGGAUCUUCGGGUGGCAGACUUGAAGUGUGUCUUGGGAAAUAAGAAACCAGCUGCUGUUGAGUAGAAAUGGCUCCAAGAUCUCAUUCAGGGGCAGUAUAAGCACUUGGAGGCCAGCAAUAGAUGUGAAACCCAGAGAGACAUCUAUCCGAAGCACACAGUGGGACUUUUCCUAUGCUUAAUAUUUUAUGAAAUUCAAGGACCUGGACACUUGGGCACUAGUAGAAUAGUUUGAUCCCUUUCUGUUUCAAACCUUGACAGUAAUGUUUUGCCAAGUUAUUUAACUGAUGUCUCUGUAUAAUUUCCACUGGGUGUCAUUAAACUGAAUUAUAUGUUCAAUUGAGCCAGACAUAAGGUACACCUGUAAUCCCAGCCCUCGGGAGCAUCAAGAGCUCAAGGCCAGCCUCAGCUACAUGAGACCAUGUCUCAAAACAAGAGCAAAAAACCCAUUUACCUUAUCCCUAUAGGUUCUUUCCUGUUGCAGAGAAAGGCUAUUCUUAAUAGUUCCUGUAAUUUACUUACCUCUUAUGAGUUAAGUGAGUCUGUCAAAAAAAAAAGACAGUUCACUUUUUCAAUGUUCUUGAUUCAGCUGCUCUAUCCACAUGAAGUGUUAGGCCUUCUCAUCCUUUGGGGAAUUUGUAGAUAGUUUUGAAGCUUUCAUAAAAAUAAUUAAAGAGCUUCACAUCAAGUGAGGUCUUCCUGAGUGAUGCUAUACCCCUGAAUUAGAGGGUCUUUGUUUUCCUAUUUCCUUUCCACCUAACACAUAAGCAUUUCUGUGGUUCUGUAAGAACCAAAUACUGGGGGGCUGGAGAGAUGGUUCAGUGAUUAAAAGCCCUGGCUGCUCUUCAAUUCCCUACACUCACAUGGCAGCUCACAACUGCCUGUGAGUCCAUUUCCUGGGGCUCUGACACCCUUACACAGACGUGCAGGCAAAACACCAAUGCACAUGAAAUAAAAAAAUAAAUUAUUUUUUGAAAAGAGUCAAAAACUAGGCCACAAAUAAGUAUGUAAAAGUCAGUACAGAGAGUGGGAGAUGGCUCAGCAGGGAAAGGCACUCACCCACUCACCACCAAGUCUGACAACCUGAGUUCAAUUCGUGUGACCCAAAUCGUAGAAAGAGAACCAACUCCCAUAAAUUGUCCUCUGACCCCCCCAUACCCAAGCCAUGGCACCACUCAUCACACAAAUAAAUGUCAUUCUAAAUUUUUAAAAUUUUAAGUCAGUAUAGAAAUCAUAAAGACAGCUGGGCUUAGCAUAUGCCUGUGAUCCUCACACUCCAGAGGCUAAGGCCAGAGGAUCUUGAGUUCAAGACCAACCUGAGCUACAUAGAGUUUGAGGCCAGCCUAGGCUGCAUAGCAAUACUCUGUCCCCAACUCUGCCAAACCCAAAAGAACAGGGAAAAAAAAGACAAAUCAGAAAGAGAAUUGUCUCUGAAAAAUCUUGGCAAGGAUAGAUAUGAUGCUGUGAUUAAUUAAACACAGCUGAGUCCCAGAGUCCCAGGUGCUCUAUAUAUAGAUAAAAUAUGUCACAAAAGGAAAAAAUAUUUUUACUUUUUUUCUUAGUUCUAAAAAUGUUACAUUUAAGUUCAUAAUUUUCCAUAUAAGUCAGCAAUUUUUCAAUGGACAAGGCUUCUGUUGAUUAUCCAUGGCCAGUUGAAAUUCACCUCACCCAUCAAAUGGAGUGCCCUAGAGCUUUAUAUUCUUAAAUCUUAAGAAUCUUGUGUUCUUAAAGCAUAGAAGUUAAUGACUUUAACUUGAAUAUAAAAGGAUGGUAAACUUCAGUAUGGAAGGUUGGAUUAAAGUUACAGGUAACCAACAGUAUGAUGAAAUUAGGAUCGUCCAGUCAGCCAGUGAGCUCCCUUCCUUUUUGAAGUCAAUGUCUAAGGUCACCAAAAUCUACUGUUGUUCUAUAGUAGUGUCUCAGUGAAGUGGUUUUUCAGGUAGACACUGAACUUGGUUUUUAAAUCAAGGCGGUUCUUAGAAAGUGCCUUUUCUGAAGAUGGUGCUGUAGAUUUUUAUUUUUUAAAUGGCAUAAAAAAUUAAGAUAAUUUAGAAUACCAAAAGUAUGACAGUUUCAUAUAGUUAUUUGUUGUCCUGAAUUUGUUCUAGAGAACCAAGGGGCUUUUAUGUAAUAGUGUCUUAAGUUAAUUUCACCAAAUUGAAAAUACAAUUUUUAAUUCUAUGUUUGAAGUAAUCUAUAAUGUAUAUAAGAUAACAGAUAUGGUAUCAGUGCCCCAAGGCAAAGGUACGGUGCCAGGAACUGUGUAUUAUGAGCUACUUUUCCUUUUUCAGCACAGUUACCUCCUGACCUAAACUUUUCUAAUAACUCGUCACUAAGGAAGAAUACUUAAAGAGGAAGAGCUACGUCACUGACAUCAGUUUAAGAGAGAAAGCAAAAUGGUUACAGCACAGUCUUUAGGAAAAUUUUGUUUCUGAGACACUAGUGACUAUUUUCAAUGAUUCCUGUUUUGCAGGGUGGGAGGACUGGAAAAUGACAGGAAGCGGGGAAGGUUGCUUAUUUCACAACAGAAUGCAGCCUGAGUUACGGAAACAUACCUCUGAAUUCCUUCCUUCAGCCCCAUAUAAGUAAGUACUCAUUGGCUAGAGUGGAGACUGUUUCAAGUGGGUGGGGUUUGUUUUGUUUUGUUUUGUUUCUGCAAGUAUAGAUAGAUCCCCUCUGAGGGUGCUCACUACUUGUAACGCCAGUUUUACUGUAUGUCAGCGUUCCUCUAGGUAGACGGGCAUAUACUUCUUUUAGACUAAUGUUUUUAGGGCUGUCUGUCAUCCAGUUUCCUUUUUCCUUCUGAAAACUUUUGGGUACCUGAGCUUCCGUGGGAGGCUCCACAUACCCAGAUACCUGGCAUCAGUGCUUCAUUAACAAUGAAAUAAUACCUGAUGGCUUGUUUUUGCAGGCCACCUCUUCAGACCAAGUGUCUGUGCAGUGAGGUGUAAGUCAUCCCAUAAAUGAACCUUCAGGAACAGUCAAAAAAAAAAAAAAGUAAAAAAGAUGAGCAAGUUGGUCAGUAGCUGUUUCUGAGUUUAUUCUUCCCAGUCACAGUGCUGUGUGCAAGUCUGUAAUUUUGUUUACAGUUUUAUGAGGCUACAUCUGUGGCUGGGGUUGUAGCUCAUGCAGAAGAGUGCUUGGCUAGCAUGCAUGAAGCCCUGAUUUCAAUCCCCAGUGUGUCACAAACUGGGCUUGUAGGCUUGGUGGUACACUCCUGUAGUCCCAGCACGCAGGAGCAAUAGUUCAAGUUUAUCUUUGAUUGCAUAUUAAGUUGGAGGCCAUCCUAGGAUAGCCAUAGCCUUCUGCAUCAGAGACUAGAGAUGGAAGUUACUCUGGUAUUUCACACCUAAAGCUUUCAUCUUCCUGACUUUUGUUUGGAGAAACAAACAAAACUCCCUGGAAUUAGCCGCUUGAUAAUCUUCAGGUCAAAGGAGUGGCUCAAAUGCAUUGUGUAUGGACUCCCACCUUUAACAAAAGGAUCUGUGAAAACGGGACGUUUCUAAAGACUAAGCAGUGAGGCUGGGAGAGCACGCAGUGGGUGGAAACAGGGAUGUGUUUUUCUUUGCUGGGAUCCUAGAAACUGUAUAAUUAGUAUUUUCCAAGUUCUCAGAACCACAGAUAAUGGAGCAGUUGUUGCUUUUUGACAUAGAUGUCAGGGAAGGGUCCAUCAUGGAGACCUAUUGUCUUAGAGGCCACCACUGCAUUAUAGUGAGGGAUUUGCUUUGCUGUAGCUUUGGUGGCUCUCUCCUUAGAAAACACCAAACUGGGCCUUUCCAGACUUUUCUGUAAGGAUUUAGGGAAAACACUGGUGACUUGGAAUGAAGGAAGAAUCUUGGCAUAGAUGGUUCUUGUUAAGCAUUCAUUUUGAUCAGGGGAGUAACAGGAAGCUUUGGUCUUUGCAGCAAUAGACUUGAUCUCUGAUGGUGGCUAGUUGUAAAUACUGCCCUUUUCAGUCCAGGAAUGAUCUCAUUGUUGAUGGGGACCUUGCAAACCUACAAGUGUCUUCUCACACCCAGAAACUAGGAACAUAGAGGGCUGGCAGUGUACUUGGGUGGAAAAGCACACAAAUCACAAACCUAGCCUGCCCCUGCCUUGCCCCCUCCAAAGACCACCACCAACAACAGCAAGCAUGGACUGGUGGGACCCUCUAGAAUAGAGACUGAAAGUUUCCGGGUGCCUUCUUAGCCCAGGACUCGCCUCCUCCUCUUUAAACAGAGAACAGAAUCACAGGCAGUUUACUUAGAGCUCUACUGUGAGUAAAUAGUAGUCUAGAAUGACUGUGGAGCGGGACCAUUUGCCAGAAGGCCUGCAUGACCAAAAGACUAUUUUAUUUUAGCUGGGCGUGGUGGCACACACACCUUUAAUCCCUGCACACCAGGAGGCGGGGCCAUCUCUGAGUUUGAGAUCAGCCUGGUCUAUAUCACAAGCUCCAGACCAAGAAAAAAAGUUCUUAUUUUGAUACAUGGCUUCUUAAGUAUAUUUUAAUAGGUUGAAUGGAUUAAUACUUCGACAACUCAUUCCUCUUAACUUACAUAUUUAUUUGACUAAAGUUGUUGUGUAGGUAUAUUUAUCACAUUUGACCUCUUGGUACAUAAAAAAUUCUAUAAAAAAUAAUUUUUUUAGGAACUAGAGAGAGAUGCUCAGCUGUUAAGAGCACUUACUGUUCUGUCAGAGAAACACAGAUCCGGUGCCCAGAACCCACAGCUCACCAAUGCCUGAGGAAUCUGAUGGCCCCUCCUGGCCUCAGUGGGCACAUACACAAAUAAAUAAAAUAACAUAUAUCAGGCAUGGAUCAUACAUUGGAAUUUCUGGUCAGCUUGGGCAAUAUAAGGCCCUGUCUCUAAAAAGAAAAAAAAAAAAAAUCAACCCAUCUUUAGUCAGGCCUGAGUUAUAAGGGAGACUAAGGUGUUUCCAAGUGUGACUCUUAAAAGUCACAACUAAAAGAGAACUGUUGAAGUUAUGUGUGCCUUUGAGAGUUGAAAGGGCUGUGGAACAUGAGCCAGAGACUUGAGCACUAGCUCUGCCUCAGGCAUUUCUUCUCCGGCUCAGCGACACGUAGUGAUGGUACCUGCUGCCCUCACCUACCUCACCAAGCUUUCUUGAGAAUCAGUCUGUUUGUGAGUAAGGCUUGACUUCCACAAAGGAAAAGCUACCCAGAAUUCAGAGUGUAGAGAAGGUUCUUUUCCAGUCGGCCUCUGUCAAAGUGUCCUCAUUGUGUGUCAGGUCGCUCCUGCCAACGUCCCACACAUGGGCACAUUUUUUUCUUUGUAAUAACCCCUAGCAAAAACAUAGUUUUCAAAAACCGAAUUCCUUUCGGUGGUGCUAAAGCAGUUGCAGUUGCAUUUUGAGUUAAUGGUGAAGCCGUCCGGCACUCAGAUUUUAACAUGGCCUGUCUCCAGGCACCUGUACUUCCUGCCUGCCUCAGCCGCUGCUCUGCAGACUUGCCCUGUGUGUUCCUUUCCCUUGGAGAAGAGGGUAGGUUCUGAGAAGAAAAGUGUGCUGAUUUCACUUGUCACUUUAUAGAACUGACCUUGGCUUUACUUUCAAAAUUCCAUCCACCAUUUAUCUAUAAUAGUUAUAGAUACAUAACAAGCCAGACACAGUGGGACACCCCUAGUCCCAGUAUGUAGGAGGCUGCCGCAGGCAGAUGACAAGUUUGAGGUAAGCCAAUGUUACUUAGUGAGACCCUUUCCCAGAAGUCAGAGAGAAGCUGCUGCAGUGAUACCAUAUUUGACCCGGUACCCUAUGGAGUGCAAGCAGGACCUUAUAUUUCAACAGGAAACCUAUUGGUUUCCUUCUAAGAUGGGGGCUCCUCUUUAUAGGAAAUUACAAAGGGCAUAUCGAUGCCACAACUAUAAAACAAUUCCUUUUUGCAAAAGUGUGUUGCUUUUGUUUUUGUUUGUAAAGAAAAUGGAUGUAUGUUAAAUAUACAGGGUAUGGAUGAACUUAGUGUUUAUUCUUAUAUCUUCUCUAUUACUGACCUCCCAGUCUUACAAGCAUUUGGGCCUUCCCAACUUCUUGAUAACAAAGCUGGUAUCUGUGGUUAGUUUAAUAGAACAAUUGGAAUUACAAGGUGAAACAUUCAGGGCAAAGAUUUAUACUUAAAAAUAAAAAAGCUGGGUGUGGUGACUCACACCUGUAAUCCCGGCAUUUGGAAGGCAGGGGCAGGAGGAUUGUCCCAAAUUCCAAGCCAGCCGUGGCUAUGGAGCAAGACCUUGUCUCAAAAGUAAAUAAAAAUGCCUUCAGUGUGUUGUGCGAUAGCUAACACUGAUUUAUCAGAACACUGUUAAACAGUUUUUACUGUAAUGUGUAACUUUAAUGUCUCUCUCAGUUAUGGACCCAUAAAAGUAUUACUGUAUCUUGUAAGUAAAUAUCAUUUAUGUGAACUAAUAUGUGGCUGCAUUUGUAGGCUGUGGAAAGUGGUGGUGUAUGUAUAUGUGUGUAUUUAUAAAUAGUUAUAACACUACAUGGAUUGAGUUUAAAUUCACAAGAUAAUGUGUUGUUUCAUGUUGGGAAGAGUAAAAUGGCAGUAUGACCAUUCCGUCGGAACCCUGCCCCUCUCUCUAGAUUCCCAAAACACACAGCAAGCGUUACUAAGGCUCCUGUUUAGACAAUUGCUGCUGCUUUUAAACCAAGAGUAAUGGAGGAAGCAUAACCUUUUUCUUAAAGGGAUCUUUCCAAGGAGUGAAACGUAGCCUUUUAAAUGUUACCUUUUAAUCACCUAGACCAUGUGUGCCUAUUUGUAUUGCAGAUGUGAACUUCUGUUUCAGGGUUCAUAACAGAAUGUUUUGAGACUGAGCUAUUACAUAAAUUCAAAGUAAUCUCCCCAACCCUCUUCUCAUACUCGCUGCUCUUGCCAAAUAUUCCUACUGACACCAGGGCACAACCAAGGAUGGGGCUCUGACCUCCUUCUUCUUCAUCUCUUCCCAAAGUAGCUCUGUCACAUGCCUAAGCUCACCUCAUAUUCUUUGUUGGCUUUUCAUAAGAAAGAACAAUUUACUGUAGUAUUUAGAGACCACAGCAUUUCAUAAUGUGUCUACCUGCCACCUUUUUACAUAUUUGGCUACAUGCUAACAUCAAUUAAGACUGUGUGGGUCUGAUCUGUAAGUUACUAUGGGACCAGAAAAGAUACAAAAUGAUGAACUUGGCUGCCAUAUUCAUGAAAAGGAAUUGUAACUCUGUUAGGAGUGAUGUGUGUGUGAUCACUGUGUCAUUGGACUCACCAAAUGUUGAACUCUAUCACUGUGUACUGAGGGCCAGGCUCUGAUUUGUCAUGUUAACUGCUAAAGAUGAUGUGUGAUUAUGAUAAGCAGAAAGCAAAUAAAGUUUUUAAUCAAAAAUGUUUGUCUUCACUAUUUGGUAUUAAAUUUUCUACUCGGGAUGGGGCUGGAGAGAUGGCUCAGAGGUUAAGAGCACCGACUGCUCUUCCAGAGGUCCUGAGUUCAAUUCCCAGCAAUCAUAUGGUGACUCAUAACCAUCCAUUAUGAGAUCUGGUGCCCUCUUCUGGUGUGCAGAAGCAGAAUGUUGUAUACAUGAUAGAUAAAUAAAUAAAUAAAUAAAUAAAUAAAUAAAUAAAAUUUCUACUUUGGACUAAAUCAUCUAACCCUAAAAAAUUAUUUGCAAAAAUUAUUUCACCUCCUG
rnacentral:lncRNA from 1 species